CAGGGAAUAGUUUAAAUA
rnacentral:tRNA from 1 species